AGAUGUAGGAGCCGAGCCGCGGAGAGACGAUGACUGGCUCAAGGGCGUGCAGCUGGUCCCCUCCACGCGCUGUGGUCCAAGUCACGGAGCUGCCCUUUGUCCUUUGGAUUCGCCGGCCGUUUAACCGGAUGUUCCUUCUGCUGGAAAUGCCCUCGCCUCCCGUCUUGGCCCCAACGAGCCCUCUCACCUGUCGGGUGCGGCGGUGUCCCCUGAGAGAGGAGCGCUCCUGCUUCCCCUCCAGCAAGGUUCCUGUUGUAUCA